CCUACGUGUGGCUGCAGUGGGGAAUAUUGGACAAUGGGCGAAAGCCUGAUCCAGCCAUGCCGCGUGUGUGAAGAAGGCCUUCGGGUUGUAAAGCACUUUCAGUGGGGAAGAAAGCCUUGGGGCUAAUACCCUCGAGGAAGGACAUCACCCACAGAAGAAGCACCGGCUAACUCCGUGCCAGCAGCCGCGGUAAUACGGAGGGUGCGAGCGUUAAUCGGAAUUACUGGGCGUAAAGCGCGCGUAGGCGGUCUGAUAAGCCGGUUGUGAAAGCCCCGGGCUCAACCUGGGAACGGCAUCCGGAACUGUCAGGCUAGAGUGCAGGAAAGGAAGGUAGAAUUCCCGGUGUAGCGGUGAAAUGCGUAGAGAUCGGGAGGAAUACCAGUGGCGAAGGCGGCCUUCUGGACUGACACUGACGCUGAGGUGCGAAAGCGUGGGUAGCAAACAGGAUUAGAUACCCUUGUAGUC
rnacentral:rRNA from 1 species